rnacentral:tRNA from 1 species
GCACAGGCAGUUCAGUAGUAGAACUCCUGCUCGGUACGCGGAAGCCCCGGGUUCGAUUCCCGGUCUGUGCA